rnacentral:lncRNA from 1 species
AUGACUGCCCCCCAACCCCGUGCUCUCGAGGCAGGGGAAGGGACACUUGGAAAAGACACCAGAGACUGGGAGGGUGCAGCUGGGCUCUUCGCGGGGAGCGGGAGGGAGGCCUUCCUGUUACAUGUCGCAGCUGGAACACAGAGGGCAGUGCUCCAGGGUCCACACGCCGGUCUCAGUUCCCUCAGGCCCAGGACCAGGCUCCACACGGCCGUCGCGUCGCUUAGUCGCGUGGGCUGUAGCACAGAGGGGGCAAACACCUCCAGGGCCUUGUGCCAGAUUUCUCCUUUCGGGACAUCUCAAGAAUUGAAAGCCUGCAAGAAGUUCCAGAUAAAGAUGCAAGAUGCUGAAGAAUCAAUAACAUUCACGGAGUGCUUACUAAAUGCCAGGCACUAUUCUAAAUGCUUUGCUUUACAUGCAUAACUCACAAGGGGGAAAGCUUUGUUGCACUGACUGUUGUGCCCCCACGGACUGUGGAAUGGAGACUGUGGACUGGCAAAACGCAAAAAGCUAUGUGUGCAAGUGUCGCUUUUGAUGAUGGUAGGAAGAGAUGUGACCAUUGGACCCAUUUUAAUCACUCUCCAUCCUGCCCGACCUCCCCUCCCUGCCCUGCAACGAUAUUGGCAUUCUUCCACAUUCCAGCCAAACCUUUCCUGUCCCCACUAAGACCACGUAGGCUGUGGCGUGAUACACCGUCACCCAUACCCGUUUACUGGAAAGCUCCUCUUUGGGCAAGUGGCACUGCUCAUUGAGUUUCUGAGCAGAGCAGUUAUUGGGGUCACAGUAUGGCCCAGGGAAGAAACUCAACGACAAGUGCAGAGUGGGAGCUCUCUAGAGCAAUGUCUGAGCAUCAUGAUGGCAUGUUGGGAAAUUGAUAACUUUACUCUGCCUAAGGAGAAACCUCCGCAUGUCACCACCAAUCAUGCAAACUAGACUCUUAAAAUGAAAUUAGGCUGAAACACAACCAAUCAAAGUUGGAGUCUCAAUGGCUCUAUGACUUCAUUUAAAGUUCCAGUGCCAGCAGGAAGAAAAAAGAAAUCAAUACUACAUUUUCUUCUUCAUCAAUUUUGCUUUUUGCUAAAUGAAAAUGCUUACAUUCCUUCUCUUGCUCCCUCCACCAUCAAAGAUAUUAUUUCUCCCCACCUUAUCUUAUCUAUCCUGUGGUCACAGUUGAACUCAUGCAAAGAGGUUUAUGUAGGACAGAGUUGUGAGUGUGCCUUCUUUGUACUAAGCACUUGAAAGUAUUGUUAUCUUUCUUUUUUCUUUUUUUUUUUUUUUUUUGAGACGGAGUUUCGCUCUUGUUCCCCAGGCUGGAGUGCAAUGGCGCGAUCUCGGCUCACCGCAACCUCCGCCUCCUGGGUUCAGGCAAUUCUCCUGCCUCAGCCUCCUGAGUAGCUGGGAUUACAGGCACACGCCACCAUGCCCAGCUAAUUUUUUGUAUUUUUUUAGUAGAGACGGGGUUUCACCAUGUUGACCAAGACAGUCUCCAUCUCUUGACCACCUGCCUCGGCCUCCCAAAGUGCUGGGAUUACAGGCUUGAACCACCACACCUGGCCUGUUAUCUUUCAGAAAGGAGGUUAUCUCAGUUAACCAAAUACUUGCCAGUACAACAGUCCUUACUCCAUUGGCCUUUCUGAAGCAACAGCAGGGCCCUAACCAUUUUUGUGGGUGGAGAGUCGAGAGUGUGCUUACUCCAAAUAGCUAUCAAGGCCCUAAGGGCAAAUCCCAAUGUGAUGCCCUGUGCCAGACUGUCGUGCCGGGCCUUGUAGAGGGGAAUGUGAUAGGGGUGACGGGCCUGUCAUGAACUCAUUCAUGGGCUUUGGUAACAAAAGGAGUAAAGGGACCUCAUUAUAAAAUGUUCUCACCCGUUCUGUUGCAGAACUAAAAGGGUUUUGCUGAACAGUAGAGCACGCUUCCACAGCAAUCCCUCACUAGUGACCUUUAAGAGCUCUCAGUGAGCUCCUGUUUCUGUUGGCUCCGAGAUGGUCCCAAUUCAGGACUUAACUCACUUGGCAAUAUUUGGAAAGACGGAAAAAAAGAAAGAAAAAUUUGCAACAGAGGAAGAAAAAAAAAUAGUUCCACAGGCUGGAAACUCAUUUCCUGAGGAGCAGGAGCACACCACCUUGCUCUCUGGGACUCACCGAGCUCCGGGAAGCUCGACCAGUCACUUAAUGAGUCAUUGAGGACGUGUGGUUUAAUUAACUCACCCAAAAUUCCUCCUUUCCCUUUCUCACUUUUGCUAUUAAUAUUUUUCGAUAUCUGAUAAUGCAGUGUAGUUAAUUCUUUCUGGCUUUAUAAUGAACACUGCCAUAAUGAAAAAGGUUAGCAGGGCUUCAGGCAGCUUUUAAUUAGCCAGCCGAGCAGGUAAAAGCACUUUAUUCUUCUCUUUUUUUCCCCUUACUUAGCAAUUAAUGGAGGAGCUCAGUGGCACUUACUGUACCCUUUUUGUUUUCUAAUGGAUGAUGCUGCACAGAACAGAAAGGCCUUACUGUACCCCUGUUACUACCAAGUGAGGACGUUAGAGGCUGCAUCACUGCAUCUCAGGCCUCUGGCUUGUGGGUGAAAGACUUUCUGCUGCUGGCUGAAGGUUUGCCUCAUUAAAAAGCUGAGUUACCUAGAGUUGCUGUUACCAGUUCCCUGCCUUGCAUUUUCUGCCUUUGCAUCUGCAUCCAGAGACCCCCCCGAAAGGCUUUUACAGCCCAGCUGGCCUUGAUUUUUGCAAAUAUUUUUCUGCUUCUAUCUAAGUGAGCCAUGUUCCUCCCUUUCUCAUGCUAACAGCAGCCUUGGGUUAUUCUUCUUAUUUUACAGACAGAAAAACUGAGGUCCAAACUGAUUAUCUGCAUGGCCAAAAGCCCUUUUUUCCAAUUCUGAUGAUGCCAUCUCUGGAAGUGAAGAGUAGCAUCCUCAAGCUAAUUGUUGACCUACCUUAGAGGAGGAAUGUGGGGUAAGGGAGGAGGUUAGAAAUUACGGGCCACUUCCCGGUCUAUUAAUCAAUAAAUCCACGAGGAAGCAUUUUUACCUUGGUUGGAAUUAUUUGCAUGAUUCCUUUCCACUUUGCAAAUGCAACACAAAAUAUUGUUCUUGGAGUGCAUAGCACAUGUUUUGUGUUACAGGCUUGAUAAAAGCUGACUCUGUAUUCUGAUCUCUAGAGAGAGAUUGGGACUUUUUUUUUUUUUUUUUGGAGACAGAAUCUCACUCUAUCACCCAGGCUGGAGUGCAGUGGUAUGAUCUUGGCUCAGUGCAACCUCUGCCUCCUGGGCUCAAGUGAUCCUCUCACCUCAGCCUCCUGAGUAGCCGGGACUGCAGGCAUGCACCACCAUGCCUGGCUAAUUUUUGUACUUUUUGUGGAGAUGGGGUUUUGCCAUUUUGCCCAAGCUAGUCUCAAACCCCUGAGCUCAAGCAAUCCCUUUGCCUCAGCCUCUCCGAACACUGGGAUAACAGGUAUGAGACACUGCACUCAGCUGGGCCAGGUUUUUUUAAGAGCCCAGGGUCUCCUGAAAAGAAAGAAAGAGAGACCCCAGGCUCUCUAAGAUUCAAAGUUGAGAAUAGUUUGAAGGUGUAUGGAAUGGUCCUGCACAAAGUCAAGCUGAAGGAAGGGAUGCUGAAAGCAUAAACAUGAAGCACACCAGGACAAAGGCAGUCUGAGCUAGUGAUCUGGGCUUGACUUUGGCUGCCCAGCACAGGCUGCUGGUUUACUAGUCCAGUGAUAUAUACUGGGAAAGAUAGUAAAGCAUCUAAGAAUAACCUUAACAGAGAUCACUAUUAAGUCAGGAGCCCCUCUAAAGAUGGGUUGUGAUGUGAUGCUUAUCUCUUGGGGGUCCUUGUCUAAAUGUGUCUGUCCCGUAAUAGCUUCUUGUUGAUAAGCUUCCUGAAAAGGGGAGAUAAAGGGAGAAUCAUGCAGAUUUGGUUGCAUCAUUUGUGCAGAAUAUUUGGUGCAUUCUCUUCUGACCACAUGCCGGGUCCAGGAAGUACUGACUGGAUAAAGAUCUCACUAAUCCUUGGUAGACACUUUGAAGUUUUGGUUGCUUGUGGUCCUUGUACUGUGAUCUUAAUUAAAUUGAGGUGAAAAUAAUGACUUGUCUUGUUUUUAUUGCAAGAGA